rnacentral:rRNA from 1 species
GGAAGGUGCGAGCGUUAAUCGGAAUCACUGGGCGUAAAGCGCGCGUAGGCGGUUAGGUAAGUCAGAUGUGAAAGCCCCGGGGCUUAACCUGGGGAACUGCGUUUGAUACUGCCUAACUAGAGUGUGAUAGAGGGAAGUGGAAUUCCACAUGUAGCGGUGAAAUGCGUAGAGAUGUGGAGGAACACCAAUGGCGAAGGCAACUUCCUGGAUCAACACUGACGCUCAGGUGCGAAAGCGUGGGGAGCAAACAGGAUUAGAUACCCUGGUAGUCCACGCUGUAAACGAUGUCUACUAGCCGUUGGGAGGGUUUGCCUCUUAGUGGCGCAGCUAACGCGAUAAGUAGACCGCCUGGGGAGUACGGCCGCAAGGUUA